rnacentral:rRNA from 1 species
AUGCGGAAGAGAUUUCUUCUGUGGCCGCUGCUGCUCGCUGUCUCCGCAUCGUCAGCUCUUCUUGGUGUUCUCGCGGCCGACCUUAGCAAAGAACCUUUUACCAUCCGUAUAAGCUGUGGGAGUUUCGACGAUGUCCACACGGCACCUACCAACACGUUGUGGUACCGAGAUUUUGGUUAUACUGGUGGCAGGUUUGCAAAUGCCACUCGCCCGAGCUUUAUUGUACCCCCACUGAAAACUCUUCGAUAUUUCCCUCUGUCUGAUGGCCCUGAAAACUGUUACUACAUCAACAAUGUUCCCAAUGGGCACUACCAAGUCAGGCUUUUCUUUGCCCUUGUGGCUGAUCCUAAUCUUGAUAGUGAGCCAAUAUUUGAUGUUUCUGUUGAGGGCACUCUAUUCAGUUCUUUGCUUUCGGGCUGGAGUAGUGAUGAUGAGAAGACAUUUGCGGAAGCCCUGGUUUUUGUUCAACACUCUAGCUUAUCAAUUUGUUUCCACAGCACCGGUCAUGGCGAUCCAUCGAUCCUUUCUAUCGAAGUUCUCCAAAUAGAUGAUAAUGCCUAUAAGUUUGGUUCCCUUUGGGGAAAGGGAACAGUGCUUAGAACUACCAAAAGAUUGACAUGUGGUUCUGGAAAGCCAGCUUUUGACGAAGACCUAAACGGUAUCCACUGGGGUGGUGACAGAUUCUGGUUAGGUUUGAAAACUUUAUCAUCUAGUUCUGAUGAUCAACCUAUAUCAACUGAAAAUGUUAUAGCAGAGACAUUGCUUGCACCAAAUUUUUAUCCUCAAAGUAUGUACCAAUCAGCUAUUGUGGGCACUGAUAGGCAGCCGACGUUAUCCUUUGAAAUGGAUGUUACUCCAAACAAGAACUAUUCUGUAUGGCUUCAUUUUGCAGAGAUUGAUAAUGGAAUAACUGCAGAAGAGCAAAGGGUAUUUGAUGUACUUAUCAAUGGUGACACUGCUUUCAAAGAUAUUGAUAUAAUCCGCAUGACAGGAGAGCGUUUUACUGCGCUUGUUCUGAAUAAAACUGUUGCUGUCAGUGGGACAACGCUAAAAAUCACCUUGCAGCCUGUUGAAGGGACACAUGCCAUUGUUAGUGCGAUUGAGGUUUUUGAUAUCAUUCCAGCUGAAAUGAAGACCUUAACUCAAGAAGUGACUGCUCUGCGGACUUUGAAGGGUUCACUUGGUCUUCCUCUUCGAUUUGGCUGGAAUGGUGACCCCUGCAUUCCUCAGCAGCAUCCGUGGAGCGGAGUUGAUUGCCAGUUUGACAAUACCAAAAGGCAGUGGGUCAUUGAUGGACUAGGUCUUGACAACCAAGGCUUGAGAGGAGUUAUACCUAGUGAUGUAUCUAAGCUACAACACCUGCAAAGCAUAAACUUCAGCGGUAAUAGUAUAAAGGGCAAUAUUCCAUUGUCUUUGGGUACCAUCCCAGGGCUACGAGUACUAGAUCUGUCAUUCAAUGAACUCAAUGGUUCUAUUCCGGAGAGCCUUGGCCAACUGACGUCUUUACAGACACUGAACCUAAAUGGCAAUGAUCUUUCAGGAAGGGUUCCAGCCAGCCUGGGAGGAAGACCUCUACACCGAGUUAGAUUCAACUUUACGGACAAUGCUGGGCUGUGUGGAAUUCCUGGUUUACGUGAGUGUGGCCCUCAUUUAUCAGUCGCUGCAAAGAUCGGCAUGGCUUUCGGGGUACUUGUAGCUUUUCUGUUUCUAGUUGUAUUUGCGGCAUGCUGGUGGAAAAGGAGGCAAAACAUUAUCCGUGGUCAGAAAUUAGCUGCAGCAAGGGAAGCUCCCUAUGCUAAAUCAAGGACCCAGUUUACACGGGAUGUGCAAAUGGGCAAGCACCACCGCCCGCAUGAGACGAGCCCACGGGGUGGCAACAAUGAAAGCUCGCCACAUUUGCUUUCCUAG